rnacentral:rRNA from 1 species
GACGUAGGGCGCGAGCGUUGUCCGGAUUUAUUGGGCGUAAAGAGCUCGUAGGCGGUUCGUCGCGUCGGCUGUGAAAACCCGAGGCUCAACCUCGGGCCUGCAGUCGAUACGGGCGGACUGGAGUUCGGCAGGGGAGACUGGGAUUCCUGGUGUAGCGGUGAAAUGCGCAGAUAUCAGGAGGAACACCGGUGGCGAAGGCGGGUCUCUGGGCCGAUACUGACGCUGAGGAGCGAAAGCGUGGGGAGCGAACAGG